rnacentral:rRNA from 1 species
AGUGGACGCUGGCGGUAGGCCUAACACAUGCAAGUCGAACGGCAGCACAGUAAGAGCUUGCUCUUAUGGGUGGCGAGUGGCGGACGGGUGAGGAAUACAUCGGAAUCUACUUUUUCGUGGGGGAUAACGUAGGGAAACUUACGCUAAUACCGCAUACGACCUACGGGUGAAAGCAGGGGAUCUUCGGACCUUGCGCGAUUGAAUGAGCCGAUGUCGGAUUAGCUAGUUGGCGGGGUAAAGGCCCACCAAGGCGACGAUCCGUAGCUGGUCUGAGAGGAUGAUCAGCCACACUGGAACUGAGACACGGUCCAGACUCCUACGGGAGGCAGCAGUGGGGAAUAUUGGACAAUGGGCGCAAGCCUGAUCCAGCCAUACCGCGUGGGUGAAGAAGGCCUUCGGGUUGUAAAGCCCUUUUGUUGGGAAAGAAAAGCAGCAGGUUAAUACCCCGCUGUUCUGACGGUACCCAAAGAAUAAGCACCGGCUAACUUCGUG